rnacentral:tmRNA from 1 species
GGGGUCGUUACGGAUUCGACAGGCAUUAUGAGGCAUAUUUUGCGACUCAUCGGCAGAUGUAAAAAUGCCAGUUAAAUAUAACUGCAAAAAAUAACACUUCUUACGCUCUAGCUGCUUAAUAACCAGCAGGCGUGACCAAGGUUUGAUUGCUUGUGUUGAACUACGGUCUUAUUAUUAGCAAGCUACGAUGGAAGUCAGCCUAGUACUUUCAUAAGAGAUUGAUAGGCUCGCAGUUGCUUCACUUGAGCUAUGUGUGGGGGAACUGUUAAAUCAAAACAUAGCCUAUGGUUGUAGACAAAUAUGUUGGCAGGUGUUUGGACGUGGGUUCGACUCCCACCGGCUCCAUUA